AGCGCUGGAAACGGCGUCUAAUACUGGAUACGAGCAACGGCCGCAUGGCCAGUUGUUGGAAAGAUUUUUUGGUUGGGGAUGGGCUCGCGGCCUAUCAGCUUGUUGGUGAGGUAAUGGCUCACCAAGGCGUCGACGGGUAGCCGGCCUGAGAGGGUGACCGGCCACACUGGGACUGAGACACGGCCCAGACUCCUACGGGAGGCAGCAGUGGGGAAUAUUGCACAAUGGGCGGAAGCCUGAUGCAGCAACGCCGCGUGAGGGAUGACGGCCUUCGGGUUGUAAACCUCUUUUAGCAGGGAAGAAGCGAAAGUGACGGUACCUGCAGAAAAAGCGCCGGCUAACUACGUGCCAGCAGCCGCGGUAAUACGUAGGGCGCAAGCGUUAUCCGGAAUUAUUGGGCGUAAAGAGCUCGUAGGCGGUUUGUCGCGUCUGCUGUGAAAUCCCGAGGCUCAACCUCGGGCCUGCAGUGGGUACGGGCAGACUAGAGUGCGGUAGGGGAGAUUGGAAUUCCUGGUGUAGCGGUGGAAUGCGCAGAUAUCAGGAGGAACACCGAUGGCGAAGGCAGAUCUCUGGGCCGUAACUGACGCUGAGGAGCGAAAGGGUGGGGAGCAAACAGGCUUAGAUACCCUGGUAGUCCACCCCGUAAACGUUGGGAACUAGUUGUGGGGUCCAUUCCACGGAUUCCGUGACGCAGCUAACGCAUUAAGUUCCCCGCCUGGGGAGUACGGCCGCAAGGCUAAAACUCAAAGGAAUUGACGGGGACCCGCACAAGCGGCGGAGCAUGCGGAUUAAUUCGAUGCAACGCGAAGAACCUUACCAAGGCUUGACAUAUACGAGAACGGGCCAGAAAUGGUCAACUCUUUGGACACUCGUAAACAGGUGGUGCAUGGUUGUCGUCAGCUCGUGUCGUGAGAUGUUGGGUUAAGUCCCGCAACGAGCGCAACCCUCGUUCUAUGUUGCCAGCACGUAAUGGUGGGAACUCAUGGGAUACUGCCGGGGUCAACUCGGAGGAAGGUGGGGAUGACGUCAAAUCAUCAUGCCCCUUAUGUCUUGGGCUUCACGCAUGCUACAAUGGCCGGUACA
rnacentral:rRNA from 1 species